rnacentral:lncRNA from 1 species
CGGGCCUGUAGGAAACUGCGCAUGCGCGGAGAGAAGAGCCCGGGCAGCCUGAAGGAAUGGCUGGAGUGGGCGGGGUCUGCGCCGCUUUAAGGUUGGACCCGAUCCUGCUAGGGAGUCUCCUGCAGCUUAGCAGUCCGGGAACUGGGAUUUCGGUGGGGAAUCCAAAACUAGCAGUGAUUGGAUCCAUAAAAGUUACCAAAAAACAAAAAUGAAGUGUCUGGAAUCACUCCACUGGAUUUCAAGACUACCAAUAUAGGAAAGAUGCUGGUUAACCUCCACACGCUUGAUUUUCAAGCAUCUGAUCUUUGAUAACUUCCAUAUUAAGAGACUUCAUUUCACCAUCU